UUUGUACAUUCUCUCUGUGACUGCGUGGGUUCCCUCUGGGUUGUCUAGUUUCCUCCCACGUCUCAAAUACAUGCGGGCUGGUAUGUUAAUUGGCCACUGUAAAUUGCCUCUAGUGCAGAUUAGUAUUUCCAAUCAGACAACAGAUCAAAGCUUUUGAUAAAAGGCACUUGGGAUCGAAUCCACUGAGUCCAAGCACCUUGAGUACCUCUGCAAAGACAACAUAGUUUGAAGAUAAGGCUACGACAUUGGAACCAUUGAAUCCCUGGCUCUAUUAAGAUGCUGCCUGAUCCACUGAAUGUUUUCAGCAGUUUCUCUUUUUAUCCGCUUUGUAUCCUAAAUUCACUAUUUUGAUCUGAAAAUACAUUAGGAAGCAAGUAUGUAGUGUAAAAUGAAGUCUUGCCUGGCAGUCCUCGUCUGCAUUAGAUUUCCAUUUGAAACUGAACGAAACACGACAAGAAUGUUAUUACAGUGGUUACUAACUGACCCCUGACUUAGACAUUGAAUUGAUUGCUAUUUUAACUUCUUGCCUGCAGUGAAACCAUGUUCG